rnacentral:rRNA from 1 species
AGCACGUUCUGGCCGAUGCAAUCCGGCUGCCGUGAGUGAAGAACGUUUUCGGAUCGUUAAACCUGUUGUUAGAGAAGGAACAACGAUGAGAGUUAAAUGGUCAUGCCAUGACGGUAUCCAAGCCAGGAAGCAGGGCUUAAGACGUGCCAGCAUCGCGGUAAUACGUAGGUGGCAAGCCGUUGUCCCGAUUUAUUGGGCGGUACAGCGAGCGCAUGCCGGUUUCUUAAGUCUGAUGUGUAAAGCUCCCGCUCAACCGGGGAGGGUCAUUGGAAACUGGGAGACUUGAGUGCAGACGAGGAGAGUGGAAUCUCCAUGUGUAGCGGUGAAAUGCGUAGAUAUAUGUAGGAUCACCAGUGGUGAAGGCGGCUCUCUGGUCUGUAAUCGACGAUGAGGCUCGAAAGCGCGGGGAGCGAACAGGAUCAGAUACCCUGGUAGUCCACGCAGUAAACGACGAGUGAUAAGUGUUGGAUGGUUUCCGCCCUUCAGUGCCGCAGCACACGCACUAAGCACUCCGGAGCGGGAGUACGUCAGCAAGGUUGAAAGUCAAAGGAAUUGACGGGGGUCCGCACAAUAAAUGGAGCAUGUGGUUUACUCCGAAGCAACGCGAAGAACGUUGGCAGGUCUUGACAUCCUGCGAUCAGUUUAGAGACAGACAUUGGCUUUACGGGGCAAAGUGACAGGUGUUGCAUGGUUGUCGUCAGGUCGUGUCUUGAGAUGUUGGGUUAAGUCCCGCAACGAGCGCAACCCUUAUUUUUAUCCAUCAUCGAAGAUUUGGGCACUCUAGCUAGACUAGGGGUGACAAACCGGUGGAAGUUGGGGAUGACGUCAUAUCAUCAUGCCCUUUAUGUAUGCAUCGACACACGUGGUACAAUGGGAAGUCCAACGAGUUGCGAAGUCCGGAGGUCCAUCCAAUAUUGAAAAAAAUGUGCCAGUUAGGAUGUAGCAUGCAAAUAAUAGACAUGAAGCCGGAAGCACUAGUUUCCAAGAUCAUCCCGCUGCGGUGAACAGGUUCCCGGGCUUUGUACACACCGUUCGUCACUCCAUGAGAGAUUGUAGCACAAGAAGUGGGUGAGGUACCGCGUUGGAGCCACCCGCCUAAGCUGGGAUAGAUGAGUGAGUCGAAGUCCUGGCAUGGUAGUC